rnacentral:tRNA from 1 species
ACUAGCCUUCCAAGCU